CGUAUUUAUUAACAAUUUUACGUUCGAUUUUACAGCUUCAGCCGUUAAUGAUGUAUUAAGCCAGUCGGGACAAAGUAUAUUUUCUGAAAGGACAAGACAGAACCGUGAGAGGAAAUCAAGUACGGUUAGUAUCAUACCGUAGAGUGG
rnacentral:ncRNA from 1 species